CGGGGCCCUAAUACGCCUUCGUAGGUUUCUGAUAAAGACAUUUUUUUUUUAUUUCAUUUUAUUUUUUCUUUAAAGAUCACUGGACAGUAGUUUGUUCGGCUUAGCGCCUCUAUCGGCUAAUAUUCAGUGUUAGUACGGUAUAGCUUCAUAAUGCAAUAGUAAACAGUUUCUUUGCUCUUAAAAGUUUAAUUUACGCGUCUGCUUUUUUUUUAUACAAAGGAAUUCAGAGAUAUGUAUACUCGCUUUGUCAAUAUGUUUACGUAUGAGUGUGUGUGUGUGUGUGUGUGUGUGUGUUGCUCGCAUUCAAAAAACAUUUUUUUAAAAAUUGUUUUAUUGAGCGUUUGGCCAUCCCACCUUCUUGUUCUCGCCCUUCCCAUUAAGCCUUCUAACCCUUUUUUGAUCCCUCUAAUGACAUUGGGAAAUAAUUAAGCUUUUCUUUCAUGUCCCCACAAGUCACAUUUCCUUUUGGUCUCCCUCAGGGACGCGGGCCAACGUUAAGCCUUUCACUGGCGCCAAAACGACAAAAGCGGGAGGAGACGAGAAAGGAGGGUGUCGAGAUAGAAGGGACGGAAUACCAGAGAGGGUGGCAAGUCAAAGAGAAGACAACUUGCCUUUCCCUUAUAUGUCAAAGAAAGAAAAUCACUUAACCCCCCACCCCCAACCGCAUCCUGCCCCCCCCAGCAGGGGAGUCAAACAAGACUGAGCAAAAGCUAAGCGGCAGCAAUUCUCGGUGUUUGAUUUAAAUCCACAAGGUAGAAUUCCCUUUGUUUGAUGUUGAGUUUGACAGUAAAUUUUGAGUGGGAGGGGCAUUAAGCAGUUUGAGGACUUUUUGUUUAAGUUGAAGAGAUUUCACUACCCCAUCUCAAGUCAAAGCA